GACGAACGCUGGCGGCGUGCUUAACACAUGCAAGUCGAACGGAAAGGCCCUGCUUUUGUGGGGUGCUCGAGUGGCGAACGGGUGAGUAACACGUGAGUAACCUGCCCUUGACUUUGGGAUAACUUCAGGAAACUGGGGCUAAUACCGGAUAGGAGCUCCUGCUGCAUGGUGGGGGUUGGAAAGUUUCGGCGGUUGGGGAUGGACUCGAGGCUUAUCAGCUUUUUGGUGGGGUAGUGGCUUACCAAGGCUUUGACGGGUAGCCGGCAUGAGAGGGUGACCGGCCACAUUGGGACUGAGAUACGGCCCAGACUCAUACGGGAGACAGCAGUGGGGAAUAUUGCACAAUGGGCGGAAGCCUGAUGCAGCAACGCCGCGUGCGGGAUGACGGCCUUCGGGUUGUAAACCGAUUUCGCCUGUGACGAAGCGUGAGUGACGGUAAUGGGUAAAGAAGCACCGGCUAACUACGUG
rnacentral:rRNA from 1 species